AUGGGGCUGAGGGUCACUCAGUACUACAUCUUUGUUAUAAUGUUAACCAAAGGUGUCAGCAGUGAUGAGAUCAGACUGGACCAGUCUCCUGCUGUGGUAAAGAGACCUGGAGAAACUGUGAAGAUCUCCUGUAAGAUUCACGGCUUUGAUAUGACUGAGUACCUCAUGCACUGGAUCAGACAGAAACCAGGGAAAGCUCUGGAAUGGCUUGGAUAUGUGAACUCUGGUACAACAGAUGAACCCACAUACGCAGACUCAGUGAAAGGGCAUUUUCUCCUCUCAGAAGACGUCUCAGCAAGCACACAGUACUUAGAGGCCAAGACCCUGAGGACAGAGGAUACUGCGGUUUAUUACUGCGCCCGAAGUCCCACAGUGACUGGAGCUGAGGAAGCAGCUGUACAAAAACCAGACACACAUUGUGGUGUUGGAGGUGUGGAGCUCACUCAGACAGACUCUGUGCUGGUGAAGCCUGGAGAGUCGUUCUCCAUCUCUUGUAAGAUCUCAGUGUCGAGUUAUUGUAUUCACUGGAUACGGCAACCUGCUGGAAAAGCACUGGAAUGUCUCGGAUAUCUGUAUAGCGGUGAUAGCACUGAUCUCAAAGACACGAUGAAGAGCAAGAUCAGUCUCAGCCAGGACAAAUCCAGCAGCACAGUUUAUUCAAGAGGACAAAACUUUCAGGUCGAGGACACGGCUGUAUGUCAGUAUUUGUAA